UAAUUGAUGUUAACUCUUUAACUUUAAAUUGAUUAAUAAUUCAUCUUAAAAUUUGAAAAUUGUGAAAAAACAUUUAAUACUGAAUGGAAGAUUGAGACAUUUCAGAGGUGGAUUUAAUGGAACCAUUUCGAAAGAAAUUCCGAUGCGUAUCGAAACGGUUGACCCGACUGUGAAGCUCGGUAAUGCGAUGAUCUUUCGGGGACAGUAUUAAUAAAACUCCAUUGAGUCGUUACCUAAUUCGAAAAUCAAUAAACAAGGCCAACAGAUUAUUUUAUCCGCAUGUAACAGUUUAAUCUUAACAUCUUCCAUCCAUUGUCUUAAAAACAAAUAAAAAUAUUCAGCUUGCCAAAAAUAACUCAUUGAUGAUGUCUAAAAAUUUGUAUACAGGAGCCAGUUCGUGGGAUCCCAGAUGACCAGCCACUCUUAAACUCGUUGUUCACCGAGGAGGAUCAACAAAGACUGCUCCAAACCAGAGAAAAAAAAUGAAGGAAAAUUCCAGGCGGCUGGAUAAUAGGCUAAUUAUAAUUACCGUCGCGAGAGCCGCUACCUGCUAUUCUCAGAUCCGAGUUAAGCCGGAAACAGAGGGAGUUGAAUGGAUGAUUAAUAACGAUGCUCUUCUCUGUCCGAAGACGCAAAAGAAGUUCACCGACGAGAGGACUACUAGGAGAAGCUAGAAGGACUCGAGACCAGUGGCGUAACUAGGUGGGGACCAGGGUCUGAGAUAAAAUCUCAUGAAAUUUAUAAAUUUCACAACUUUUAAAUCUCAGUUGUCCAAAUCAAAUCUCUAAUCUGAGAACUUCCAUAAACUCAGUUAUCAACUGCAAAUUUUUAAUUUUCCAAAUCUCCAAAUUCUCAAAUCUCUAAACCUUCAAAUCUAUGAACUGUUGAAUUUGCAAACUAUUACAAUUAUAAUUUAGAAGAGAAACCCUUGGGAGAAAGUCCUAGUUACGCCAGUGCUCUUAGAACGUCAAAAAGUCGAACAUGGUCGAUCAUCGAUGAGGAAUCCGCGUUCCCGGUGUUACACACCCUUCACGUCCCUGUGAAACUAUUUCAUUGACCAAAUUUAACGCUAAUACUGUCCAAAUACGACAGCCGGCUUUGUUGGGUCCCCCAUAAAGGAGCCUUCGUGGCCCAAACGCACAGCUGCCUUCGAUUCGUAGGACCCCGACAAACAGGCUUAACUUUCUAUCCUCUUUCGUACUAUCAGUCAUUCGGCAUAGUAAGGAGAGAGGAAAAGAGAGAGGAGACUACAGGUUCGAACAUUAUGUGUCGGUCCAUUCACACCGUGGAUAUCUGGUGCCCGGUGGCGACGUUUACUCUACUCAAAAUCUGCUUUUACCUCGCUUUGCAUGCGCUUAUCAUUUGUCAAGCUUCUUCUUCGUCUUCGUGUGAUAGACGGGUGAACUUCUCGCGAGUGAAGAGAGAUUCAUUUAUCACCGAUCCGUAAAAUAAGGAAGUUUCUGACCGAACGUGGAGGGAACACAGUUUUUCCCGCUGCUCUAUCUUGUUCAGCCUUGUACUACAGCUUGCGAUAGCUUUUGGAAAUUUUGUCGCUCAGUAAGAAAGUUAAUGUGAAAAUUAUUCUGAUGGGUCUGAUUCGAAAGACUAAUUUUUUACUCGAUGCAAGGUUUAAAAUGCCUCCAUAUUUCUCGAAAAAUGUCUUUAUUUCAAUGAAUGUCGGUAGAAGAGUCUCCUUAACCCUCUUUUUCUCGUUCUCCCGUAAAAUUUGAUGGUAAAUCACGUAUUCGAGAAGGGCCACCCUCGCGACGCCUACAACGAAAGAUUUGAAUUGUCCGGAAUCACGCCGCCAACCCUCUUUAUCCCUCGUGUUACUACACACGCCAGCAUUUGCAUAUUUCAGUCAGACUAUCGUGAACGACCAUGUUUACUUCGUUCUCGAUCUCGUUUAUUUUUACAUUCAUUUUGCGCCGUACACUCCUUUUUUCUCCGUUGAAACAACAUCAACAGCGCUACAUCUUCUCGAGAAAAUGCAUUCGUUGUUGAUAUUCCGUCCAAGUACGCUCGUGAAUGAAAUUGUCUCGUUUUAAUCUUUCCGCCGUUUCACGCCGUUUAAUUUUGUGUACAGGUAGUUUUUUAAUACGGAUAAAUAGUUCUUAAUAAUUUAACUAUCUGUAUCAAAAAAUUUUAAACGAAAAAGAGAGAUAAAAAGCGCUUUAUGAGCUUCAUUCCAAAUACGAUGAGCGAAUAUUAGUCGGUCGGGAACGCAGCACUUUUCUGUCGCGAGUUUAGCACGUGUAAAUUCCAAUAUUUAACCGAUCACAUUAACCUCUAAUGCGCCACGAUGGACUAAUGAAAAUUGUAUGCAAAACUGUCGGAUUCUCAUCGACGGGAAGAGUAUCGCGCUCGCGUAAUUACCAAACGAAUAACUCUUACGCUAAAUACUAAUUACGAAACAAAUUACUUGCGCACCGUCAUAAAGAAAACAUUAAUAGCUAAAUAUUUGCAUAAUAUACUAUCGAGAACCGGUUUGAAACGAUAUACAAAGCGCGUAUCGAUCGACGUACCGAACGUGGCCGGCUACUUCGCACGAAUUUAUUGCUAUAUUAGCGUGAAUGUUAAUAAAGCACCACGUAAUUGUUUGCACGAUCCUUCAAUCGAAAUUGAUUCAGGACCGAUCGUUUGUCGGGCUCGUUUUCAUAAACGGCGCAUCCUGCGGACAGAAAAUCGAUCCGAAUAUCGCAUUGAAUCCCGCAUAAUUUGCUGAAUUUCUUAGCUCGCUAUAGAAAUUUAAUUCUUUCAAAUUACUGUUAUAAAAGGAAGAUCACAGCGCUUAUUCAGUUAUUCAAAAUUCCACAUCUCUAUCGUUCUGUUCUUUUUUCCAACUAUAAUUUGGAAAUCAAAAUUUUACUGUGACUUUUCAAAUCGGUAGAUGCUCUGUCACUUAGCCGUUUAAUUUCUCACAACUUUUCAUACUCCGGAACCGGCAAAUUUUUUCUAGUAGCGCAAUGGUUUCGCAAAAGCGAAUCAGUUCGAGGCUCGUGGAAAUAAAACGUAUCUGGAAAGCGGACUGCUCCUAAUUGUCCGUCGACGAUCCUCCCUAAGCGGGUGCAAUAAGUAACGCCGUCGCUGGCCUAAAGAUGAGGUCCAAUGCAUCAAUGUCAUCGCGAACAACAUUGUUCCCGGUACGAGCGAGGACUUUACCUCUAACGACGUAUUUAUGGCGUCAAGUUGCGGCUUAAAUAAUAACCAGUCGAUGAUGGAUGGUACGGGCCACGCACGCAGAAAAUCGACAUCAUUAUUGUUGUUAGGGGUUUUGUAACAUCCAGCCAAGAUAUUUUCUCGAUCGGCAACAAUUGUGCCCGGACGUGAGCUACGAGUCGCGGCAGAUGCGUAUAAUCUCUCUUGUAUUAACGAUACCUCGAUCCUGGCCCUAUCGCUUUAUCUCGCAAAUCAGCCCUGGGAACAAAGUGGCGUCAUUGAUUAUUUUCUUUCUCUUUCUUCUUUUUUGCAGGGUUCGAUUUUGGGACUCAAGAUCGGUCGAAUCUGGGAACGUUCAAACUUCGGAUUUUUUACUCCUAAGAUGUAAUACUGAAUGUGAAGCAAAAGAGGACUCAGAACAUAAUUUUGAGGGACAAGAAAUUCUAACAUGGCGGAAAUGAUGAACCCUAGGAAUUUUAUCCUGGAUAGAUGAUGAACGCCAUAGAAAUUCCAGCAUUGACACUACAAAGUAACCUUACACAGAUUUGGAACCUGCUCUGAAAUAUAAAACGUAUUGACGUAACCAAAUUCUUCAAACGCAGCACAAAGGAAACGGGA
rnacentral:lncRNA from 1 species